AUUGAACGCUAGCGGGAUGCUUUACACAUGCAAGUCGAACGGAGAGGCGGAAGGAUGAGUAAGAUACGGGAAAGUGCCCAGUAGAGGGGGAGAACUAAUCGAAAGAGAGGCUAAUAACGCAUGAUAUUGGAGCGGCCGAUAUAGGAGUAGCUAGGUGGAGGGGUAAAGGCUCACCCAGGCAACGAUCAGUAGCGGGUGUGAGAGGACGGCCAGCAACACUGGGACUUGGACACGGCCCAGACUCCUCAGGUAGGCAGCAGUGGGGAAUUUUGGACAAUGGUGGAAACCCUGAGCCAGCCAUCCCGCGUGUAUGAUGAAGGCCUGCGGGUUGUAAAGUACUGUUGGCAGCGAAGCGGUAUCUGCAUAAUAAGCACCGGCUAACUACGUGACAGCAGCCGCGGUAAUAC
rnacentral:rRNA from 1 species